UGAGGAAUAUUGGUCAAUGGGCGAGAGCCUGAACCAGCCAAGUAGCGUGCAGGAUGACGGCCCUAUGGUUUGUAAACUGUUUUUAUGUGGGGAUAAAGUGCGUGACGUGUCAUGCAUUGCAGGUACCACAUGAAUAAGGACCGGCUAAUUCCGUGCCAGCAGCCGCGGUAAUACGGAAGGUCCGGGCGUUAUCCGGAUUUAUUGGGUUUAAAGGGAGCGUAGGCUGUCUAUUAAGCGUGUUGUGAAAUUUACCGGCUCAACCGGUGGCUUGCAGCGCGAACUGGUCGACUUGAGUAUGCAGGAAGUAGGCGGAAUUCAUGGUGUAGCGGUGAAAUGCUUAGAUAUCAUGACGAACUCCGAUUGCGCAGGCAGCUUACUGUAGCAUAACUGACGCUGAUGCUCGAAAGUGCGGGUAUCAAACAGG
rnacentral:rRNA from 1 species